rnacentral:rRNA from 1 species
GAUGAACGCUGGCGGCGUGCUUAACACAUGCAAGUCGAACGGUGAAGCCCAGCUUGCUGGGUGGAUCAGUGGCGAACGGGUGAGUAACACGUGAGCAACCUGCCCCUGACUCUGGGAUAAGCGCUGGAAACGGCGUCUAAUACUGGAUAUGAACCACGAAGGCAUCUUCAGUGGUUGGAAAGAUUUUUCGGCUGGGAUGG